AAGUCGUAACAAGGUUUCCGUAGGUGAACCUGCGGAAGGAUCAUUGCCGAGCGUGCGCCGUCGUGCGAGCCGAAAGGCGACCACAACGUGCGCAUUUCUCUCCAACCCAUGUGAACUCUGUAUUCGUGACUCGUGCGCUGACGCCCGCGCUGCACACUUGUGUGUGGCACACGGCAGCACGCACACUUUUACCAACCACGUUGACUGUGCUUCUCUGACUGAGACAAACUGUCUGCUCGCUAACGCGACUGACAUCAAAACCAACAUAUCACAACUUUCAACAACGGAUAUCUUGGCUCGC
rnacentral:misc_RNA from 1 species